rnacentral:rRNA from 1 species
AUUGAACGCUGGCGGCAGGCCUAACACAUGCGAGUCGAGCGGAUGAAGGGAGCUUGCUCCUGGAUUCAGCGGCGGACGGGUGAGUAAUGCCUAGGAAUCUGCCUGGUAGUGGGGGAUAACGUCCGGAAACGCGCGCUAAUACCGCAUACGUCCUGAGGGAGAAAGUGGGGGAUCUUCGGACCUCACGCUAUCAGAUGAGCCUAGGUCGGAUUAGCUAGUUGGUGGGGUAAAGGCCUACCAAGGCGACGAUCCGUAACUGGUCUGAGAGGAUGAUCAGUCACACUGGAACUGAGACACGGUCCAGACUCCUACGGGAGGCAGCAGUGGGGAAUAUUGGACAAUGGGCGAAAGCCUGAUCCAGCCAUGCUGCGUGUGUGAAGAAGGUCUUCGGAUUGUAAAGCACUUUAAGUUGGGAGGAAGGGCAGUAAGUUAAUACCUUGCUGUUUUGACGUUACCAACAGAAUAAGCACCGGCUAACUUCGUG